UACGGGGGGGGCAAGCGUUGUUCGGAAUUACUGGGCGUAAAGGGCUCGUAGGCGGCCAACUAAGUCAGACGUGAAAUCCCUCGGCUUAACCGGGGAACUGCGUCUGAUACUGGAUGGCUUGAGGUUGGGAGAGGGAUGCGGAAUUCCCGGUGUAGCGGUGAAAUGCGUAGAGAUCGGGAGGAACACCGGCGGCGAAGGCGGCUGCCUGGACCGGCCCUGACGCUGAGGCGCGAAAGCUAGGGGAGCAAACAGG
rnacentral:rRNA from 1 species